GCCAGUGCAUCUGUGACAAAUUUAAAAUGGAAAGAGCUGUGGUUUUUACCUAACAUAGUUUUAGCAUCCCACAUUAAGGUGUCAACCGAUACUUGCUGUAGAUCAUGUUGAUGAGUUCACAUUGCAGGAUGUGAGAAUAAAAUCCUUUUAAAGGCAUAUAGUGCUGUUUACAGAGAUUCAGAGAGGCAUGCGGUAUCACAGUCAGUCUAGUGAGAAUAGAACUUGGAAUUAUCUGUGUUGGGUGUCUUGAUGAAUUAACUUAUCUAAUCUUUUGUGAUGAUAUAGUAAUAUAAUGGGACAUUUUCAAUGAUUUAAAGGAACUCUCAAUGCUGUCUUUUUGCAUAUAUUGCAAAACACACCUCAAAAGAUUCUCUUCUAUUAUCAACAGUUUAGCCCCGAGAUGAUUUUCUGGGCUACACUUAGUAACUACAAAAACAGCAGCCCAAAGCCCUUCAUGCCUGCCGCCACAGAGAAGAACUCCAGGUGCUGGGAAAAAAGACCAGAAAUAUACCAUCCAGGUGCCAGUGGUGAAUUCACAUGCCAGAGAGUAAGAAGACAUCUUAUUUUAAAUAUGAAGAUGAUUUUGAUCUACAUGAUCAUCGCAGCUCCAGCAAUGACCGCUGUGGCACAAGGGUCUUCAGAAUGCAAUCUAACUGAACCUGGGCCCCAGACAUGUUUUGGAGUUUUAGGAGAACCGCUCGUUUUUUACAUACCUACUAAACCACAUAUAAAGACAAGCUUGAAAAAGAGUACAGAUAAGAUUUUAAUGUUAAUAAAUGAUAAAUUAGUUAGUCUCAAUGAAAAAUACAAGAAUCGUACUAUAUUCUCCACAAAUGGAACAUUGAAGCUCAACAAAGCAACAAAAAAUGACUCUGGAGAGUACAGCAUGGAAACACACAAUUCUACUGAAGGUGUGUUAUUGUACACAGUUAACAUCCAUCUACAUAUACUAGCUCCUGUGUCAGAACCAGCUGUUUUGCAGAUGUGUUUGUCACCAGAACAGAUGACAGUCAGCUGCUCCUCUGAAGGAGAUGAAGUAGAGUUCAUCUUCUUAUUAGAUGAUAACUUGUUGAUAAAAACCCAACCCAGCAUUGCAGAAAACCACAACAUUUCAAAUGUUACCAUCAGUUUACAUGGUCAGCUGAUGGGAAAGCUAAUGUGUAUCAUCCGAAACAAUAUAAGCAGAGAACAAACCAUCAUCCACCUUAUAAGCUGCACAGGUUUGUAUUUCAUGGGCAUAUAAAAUUUCUAUUAUUUCUUCCACCUGUAUGGAUAGGUUGGGUUUCAGAAAUGUUACCAUCUGCUGUAUUAAAAGUAUGUACAAAUCUAGUACAGUGAGUUGUUGUAGACCUUUAUGUGACAUCCAGCAUAUUUACGUGAUCGCAGCUCUUAAAGCAUACAUAUUUGGUUUUUCUAGGUACAACUUCUGUGGUGACUGUGGUUGUACUAACAAGUGUUGCACCUCUACUUCUCAGUUUCUCAAUUCUCACUUUACUUUUGACUGUUAAUAAAGGUAAGAGAUGUUAUCUCAUGUCUUUCUUUGUCUCUCUGAAUUCUGCACCUAAUUAACCAAAAUUUUGACAAAUCAGUAUGUAUGCAUAUGUGCAGUAUAUUAAACAUUACAGAAAGUAAAAUGGUAAAGUAUGAAAAUUAUGGUUGUUAGAUUGAUACUUUAAUAUCUGGACUGAUUUUACAAGCUUUUAAUGCAUUAUUAACACAAUGUGACUACACCACAUUUACAUUUGUGGUGUUAUUUCUUUCAGGUGUUGCUGAAGAUAACAUUUUUUACUCCAAACUUGCAUACGAAGAAAACAUCAAUCAACACACAAAGGCCACAGCCAGAUGAGGGAGUCAGUCUCAGGGCUUUCUUGUUUUGAGGAAACAGUGCAAACAACCACAUCACCAUGCUGCCUCUACUCAUACAUUAUUACUUAUUUACAAGUAGUUAAUCUGCACAUUUAUAAUUUUUAUUCUUGUUAAUAAGCUCAUGUUUUACAUUUUUGCUUAACCCUUGGAGAUUAAAACAAGGCUCUGGUCAGUAGUGUUGGUGCUUUGCUUACAUUGUGUAUUGUUUAGAAAAUGUGAGCUGUGCCUCAAGCAUCAUAGCUACUCUUCACUGUGUGACCUUAGAAACCACAAACUAUAUCCUGUUUUCACUGAGCUGCUAAACCACAACUGCUGCCGUUGCACAGAGGUCAGUGUGCAACUACAGAAUCGGUAUCAUGCAUAACAAUGGCUUGUUUGUUCAUUAUUACAAAUCAUAGUAGAUGAUCCAUAAUAAUAAAUGCUCACUCAUUCUUAUGAAGCAACAAUACAAAAAACAUGAAGGGCACACAAGGCAGCUGGCAAUGAAUUUACAUAUUAGCCUGUUUCAUUGUGGAAAGAACUCUAACUGAUUAACUAACAUUUUAAUUAAAAUAUUUU
ensembl:lncRNA